UACGUAGGGUGCGAGCGUUAAUCGGAAUUACUGGGCGUAAAGCGUGCGCAGGCGGUUUUGUAAGCCAGGGUGUGAAAUCCCCGGGCUCAACCUGGGAAUGGCAUUUGGGACUGCAAGGCUGGAGUGCGGCAGAGGAGACUGGAAUUCCUGGUGUAGCAGUGAAAUGCGUAGAUAUCAGGAGGAACACCGAUGGCGAAGGCGGUCUC
rnacentral:rRNA from 1 species